rnacentral:rRNA from 1 species
UACGGGGGGAGCAAGCGUUGUUCGGAUUUACUGGGCGUAAAGGGCGCGUAGGCGGCGCAACAAGUCACUUGUGAAAUCUCCGGGCUUAACCCGGAGCGGCCAAGUGAUACUGUCGUGCUAGAGUGCGGAAGGGGCUACUGGAAUUCUCGGUGUAGCGGUGAAAUGCGUAGAUAUCGGGAGGAACACCGGUGGCGAAGGCGGCGACCUGGGUAGAUACUGACGCUGAGGUGCGAAAGCGUGGGGAGCAAACAGG